rnacentral:snoRNA from 1 species
UUAAAUGAUGAUAAGUGUCAUUCAGACAUUUUUAGUGACUAGCUUAUGCAAUGUUGUCUACUAGUUAACCAUCUUUCGGGGCUGAUU